CAAUGGGCGAAAGCCUGACCCAGCAACGCCGCGUGAGGGAUGAAGUAUUUCGGUAUGUAAACCUCGAAAGAAUGGGAAGAAUAAAUGACGGUACCAUUUAUAAGCUCCGGCUAACUACGUUCCAGCAGCCGCGGUAAUACGUAGGGAGCAAGCGUUGUUCGGAUUUACUGGGCGUAACGGGCGCGUAGGCGGCGCGGUAAGUCACUUGUGAAAUCUCUGAGCUUAACUCAGAACGGCCAAGUGAUACUGCUGUGCUAGAGUGCGGAAGGGGCAACCGGAAUUCUUGGUGUAGCGGUGAAAUGCGUAGAUAUGAAGAGGAACAACUGAGGCGAAGGCGGGUUGCUGGGCCGACACUGACGCUGAUGCGCGAAAGCCAGGGGAGCAAACG
rnacentral:rRNA from 1 species